AACGAACGCUGGCGGCAGGCCUAACACAUGCAAGUCGAACGCUCCGCAAGGGGAGUGGCGCACGGGUGAGUAACGCGUGGGAAUCUACCUAUUAGUAAGGAAUAACAGUUGGAAACGACUGCUAAUACCUUAUACGCCCUACGGGGGAAAGAUUUAUCGCUAAUAGAUGAGCCCGCGUAAGAUUAGCUAGUUGGUGAGGUAAUGGCUCACCAAGGCUACGAUCUUUAGCUGGUCUGAGAGGAUGAUCAGCCACACUGGAACUGAGACACGGUCCAGACUCCUACGGGAGGCAGCAGUGGGGAAUAUUGGACAAUGGGCGAAAGCCUGAUCCAGCCAUGCCGCGUGAAUGAUGAAGGCCUUAGGGUUGUAAAGUUCUUUCGCCGCCGAGGAUAAUGACGGUAAGCGGAUAAGAAGCCCCGGCUAACUUCGUGCCAGCCGCCGCCGUAA
rnacentral:rRNA from 1 species